UACGGAGGGUGCAAGCGUUGUCCGGAUUUAUUGGGCGUAAAGAGCGUGUAGGCGGCCAGGUAGGUCUGCUGUGAAAACUCGAGGCUUAACCUCGAGAUGUCGGCGGAAACCAUCUGGCUAGAGUCCGGAAGAGGAGAGUGGAAUUCCUGGUGUAGCGGUGAAAUGCGCAGAUAUCAGGAAGAACACCCGUGGCGAAGGCGGCUCUCUAGUACGGUACUGACGCUGAGACGCGAAAGCGUGGGGAGCGAACAGG
rnacentral:rRNA from 1 species